rnacentral:rRNA from 1 species
AUUGAACGCUGGCGGCAUGCCUUACACAUGCAAGUCGAACGGCAGCAUGGAGAGCUUGCUCUCUGAUGGCGAGUGGCGAACGGGUGAGUAAUGCAUCGGAACGUACCGUGUAAUGGGGGAUAACGUAGCGAAAGUUACGCUAAUACCGCAUACGACCUGAGGGUGAAAGCAGGGGAUCGCAAGACCUUGCGUUAUACGAGCGGCUGAUGUCAGAUUAGCUAGUUGGUGAGGUAAAGGCUCACCAAGGCGACGAUCUGGAGCGGGUCUGAGAGGAUGAUCCGCCACACUGGGACUGAGACACGGCCCAGACUCCUACGGGAGGCAGCAGUGGGGAAUGUUGGACAAUGGGGGCAACCCUGAUCCAGCCAUGCCGCGUGAGUGAAGAAGGCCUUCGGGUUGUAAAGCUCUUUCGGCCGGGAAGAAAUCGCACAGGCUAAUACUCUGUGUGGAUGACGGUACCGGCAUAAGAAGCACCGGCUAACUACGUGCCAGCAGCCGCCGUAA